CAGAGAAAGGCUAUCGCCUCCUUGUUCAUGCUUAUGUCUUGGGAGAUUUGGAAAGAGCAUAAUGCAAGGGUUUUUCGUAACAACGCUGCUACGACGAUGAUGCUCGUCGCGAAGAUAAAAGAGGAGGUCCAUCUUUGGGCUAUUGCCAGUGCCACGCACUUGAGUAUUGUAAUGUCGUGA
rnacentral:rRNA from 1 species